AAAAAGAAAGAAAGAAGAAGAAAGCUGGGUUUGAUUCUGUCCUGUGUCCUUGGAAAACGUAUUGAACCUCUCUGGGCCUCAGUUUCCUCAUCAUGAGGAUUAGCGAUAAUGUAUGGGAUUUAUUUGUGGCUUUUCAGUAGCAACAGGUGCAGCAGCGAGACUAGUGUCAGGAUACGACAGCUAUGGAAAUAUCUGUGGGCAGAAAAAUGCAGAGUUGGAAUCAAUACCAUACAGUGGCAUGGACCACACCCACCGGAAGUAUGUGUUCUUUUUGGAUCCGUGCAAUCUGGACUUGAUCAACCGGAAGAUCAAGUCUGAAGCACUGUGCGUAGCAGCAUGUCCAAGACAAGAGCUGAAAACCCUGAGUGAUGUUCAGAAGUUUGCAGAGAUGAAUGGCUCAGCACUAUGUCACUACAAGCUAAAGCCUUCUGAAUAUACAUCUUCAAAAGCGUCUUCUCUUUGCCCCAAACUACCAGUUCCAGCGAGUGCACCUAUUCCAUUCUUCCAUCGCUGUGCUCCUGUGAACAUUUCCUGCUAUGCCAAGUUUGCAGAGGCCCUGAUCACCUUUGUCAGUGACAAUAGUGUCUUACACAGGCUGAUUAGUGGAGUAAUGGCCAGCAAAGAAAUUAUAUUGGGACUUUGCUUGUUAUCACUAGUUCUAUCCAUGAUUUUGAUGGUGAUAAUCAGGUAUAUAUCAAGAGUACUUGUGUGGAUCGUGACAAUUCUGGUCAUACUGGGGUCACUUGGUGGCACAGGUGUACUAUGGUGGCUAUAUGCAAAACAAAGAAAGUCUCCCAAAGAAACAAUUAUUCCUGAGCAGCUCCAGAUAGCUGAAGACAAUCUUCGGGCCCUCCUCAUCUAUGCCAUUUCAGCUACAGUGUUCACGGUUAUCUUGUUCCUGAUCAUGUUGUUUAUGCGCAAACGCAUUGCUCUCACUAUCGCCUUGUUCCACGUGGCGGGCAAGGUCUUCAUUCACUUGCCACUGCUAGUCUUCCAACCCUUUUGGACUUUCUUUGCCCUUGUCCUGUUUUGGGCGUACUGGAUCAUGACACUUCUUUUUCUUGGCACUACUGGCAGCGCUGUGAAGAACGACCAAGGCUUUGUGGAGUUCAGGGUCUCGGGGCCUCUGCAGUACAUGUGGUGGUACCAUGUGGUGGGCCUGAUUUGGAUCAGUGAAUUCAUUCUGGCCUGUCAGCAGAUGACUGUGGCAGGAGCGGUGGUGACAUACUAUUUUACCAGGGAUAAAAGGAAUUUGCCGUUUACACCUAUUUUGGCAUCAGUGAAUCGUCUUGUCCGUUAUCACCUUGGUACUGUGGCCAAAGGAUCUUUCAUCAUCACAUUAGUCAAGAUUCCACGAAUGAUCCUUAUGUACAUUCACAGUCAGCUGAAAGGAAAGGAAAAUGCCUGUGCUCGAUGUAUGUUGAAAUCUUGCAUUUGUUGCCUUUGGUGUCUUGAAAAGUGCCUCAAUUAUUUAAAUCAGAAUGCAUACACAGCCACAGCUAUCAACAGCACCAACUUCUGCACCUCUGCGAAGGACGCCUUUGUCAUCCUCGUGGAGAAUGCUUUGCGAGUGGCUGCCAUCAACACAGUGGGGGAUUUCAUGUUAUUCCUCGGCAAGGUGCUGAUAGUCUGCAGCACGGGCUUGGCUGGGAUUAUGCUGCUCAACUACCAGCAAGAUUACACAGUCUGGGUGCUGCCUCUGAUCAUCGUCUGCCUCUUUGCUUUCCUAGUCGCUCAUUGCUUCCUGUCCAUUUAUGAAAUGGUAGUGGAUGUGUUAUUCUUGUGUUUUGCCAUUGAUACAAAAUACAAUGAUGGGAGCCCUGGCAGAGAAUUCUAUAUGGAUAAAGUACUGAUGGAGUUUGUGGAAAACAGUAGGAAAGCAAUGAAGGAAGCUGGGAAGGGAGGCGCUGCUGAUGCCAGAGAGCUGAAACCGAUGGCCUCGGGAGCAAGUUCCGCUUGAACCUAGCCGACCGUUACGGAACCCAUUGACAUUCCAAACCAAUAUAUACACAUAACUGUGUGUGUGUGUGUGUGGGUGUGCGUGUGUGUGUGUAUAUAUGUAUAUGUAUGUGUGUAAGUAUAUGUAUAUGUAUACACACACACACAUAAUCAGCCAAAAUCAGAGAAAAGGAACAGGGAUUUAAUACCUUUUUUAUGCUUAUUUUUGUCAAACAUGUACUCCUUUCAUACGGGUGGCUUUUACAAGGCAACUGCCGUCAUUUAAUGUUUUCAAUUGUAAUUGUCUUAAUGGAAAUGUUAAGAUUCAUAUCUGAUUCACAUUUUUGAUAACUUAGAGGAGAUUUUAACUUUAGUUAUUUCAAUUAGGUAAAAUUAUUGUACCGAAUUCUCUGUCUAAAGUUUAUUCAGGGGUGAUUUCCCUGACACAUGCAUAAAAUCAAGAUCUUAUUUUCCUGAUGAAUAAAUCCUAGUGGGACCAGACUAGGUGUAUGCUUUCAGAGAAAUAAGGAAUUACUCCAGUUUUCCCCAAUCAAAAAAAGCCAUGUCAUUUUACUUUGAGAAACACACAAGAGGACCCACUGUGGGAAGUUUCAUAAUCGCUCGUGCAUUUGUCAGCCAACAUUAAAAAGUAACCAACUCCUCAGGUAUUUGUAGUUUACCCUAAUGCUUCUAAAGGAGAGUAGGUAAAAAAGAAGACAGAUGAUCUUUCUUAUGCAAAUUUUUUCUUAUGAUUUGUCUUUCUUUUUUUUUUACUUUAAUAGCAUCUUUCACACAUUUUGUGCCUGAUUUGAGAGGAAGCUGGAGCACCCAGUGAGUUUAUGUAGCCUCCAAAUUUCUGUGUAGUGAUUUGUAGAUUAAGUAAUGCUGGGAGGGAUAAUGAAGGGAGAGAAACACUGAACACAAAGCAUUGGCCAUUCCAGUGGUUUAGGGCUAAAUAGGCAUUUUAUACAAAUGCUAUAAACUUGGAAAAUGGAAUGGAGGGUGCUCCUCUCCUUGGCAAUCCAUGAAGCAUCCAGAAUUCUACAAUGUUUAACUGAAGAAUUGGUUAAUGUUCUGAUCCUCAAGUGUUGAAUGUUUUUGUUUGUUUGUUUGUUUGUUUGUUUGGGGCUGGGUUAUGGGGUUUUGUUUGUUUGUUUGAUUCUUCUAUUCCUGAAGCUUACCAGAUAUGAAUGGCUAAUAUUCCAUUGUUCUGCUUAUUGUAAUGGUGAAUGCUUUAAGAAAAAAAAAGUGUAAUUUGCUAAGAAUGAUUCAUGAUCUGUUUAUGCGAUAACUCCUUUUUGUUACAAUUUUUUUAAAAAAGGCUAUUUUUGUUAAUGUAAAGUAAAUAUUUCAGAGCAAAUUUUUUAAACUUAUUGCACUAAAUACAGGCUCUGUACAGAAAAAGAAAAGCCUCAGCAUUUUAUCAUUCCAUGGAAGGAGAAUCUUUUGAAAGAAAGCAUUGUCUCCUACCAGAAUUAGACAGUGAAUUGGACCGGUAUUAUGGAAAUGCAUACAAUUAAUGUCAGUGGGGAUUAAUAAGCAACUGUUUGCUAAUGUGCUUCCUUUCAAAGGGUUGGACCUUUAAAUUGCUGCAAAAGGUGAGAGAGCAAAUCAUCUAAGAAAAUUCAGAAUACCUUCUGUUUCAUAGCCACACAGAUUUGGGACAUUAAGGGACAUUGGGAGCUAAAUUUAUGAUUGGCAAAAAUCUGGAAGAUGGGUAUCAAAACAGAAGACAUUCGAGGAGCUAGCUGUUUUAGGAGGUGUCCCUCCAGAGUGACCUGAUGGAAGGCUUGAAUUUGGAAAUUGGGUUCUGCUCGCUCGGACAUCCCAACAUCACGGACCCUUGCUGCUCCCUGUUCCAAAUGCUCGCAAUCUCAACUAUUUGGAAACCGCCAGGAAUGCUUUCUAAUUCUCUCUCGCAACUAGAACUGUAAUCAGAAAGAAAUUUUGUAUUUUUGUAUAACUCGAUUGUGUGCCAUUUUAUAUAACAGGUCCUGUUUUACAAAUAAAUUCUGUUUUACUAACA